rnacentral:rRNA from 1 species
GGCUGGGGCAGUGUUUAUUAGAUACAAAACCCACCCAUCUUCGGAUGGAAACAAGGUGAUUCAUAGUAACCGAACGGAUCGCAUUUAUGGCUUCGGCCGGCGAUAGAUCAUUCAAGUUUCUGACCUAUCAGCUUUCGACGGUAGGGUAUUGGCCUACCGUGGCAGUGACGGGUAACGGGGAAUUAGGGUUCGAUUCCGGAGAGGGAGCCUGAGAAACGGCUACCACAUCUAAGGAAGGCAGCAGGCGCGCAAAUUACCCAAUGAAAACAGUUUCGAGGUAGUGACGAUAAAUAACAAUACAGAACAUUUCAUGUUUUGUAAUUGGAAUGAUGGGAAUCCAAACCCCUUUCAGAGUAACAAUUGGAGGGCAAGUCUGGUGCCAGCAGCCGCGGUAAUUCCAGCUCCAAUAGCGUAUAUUAGAGUUGUUGCAGUUAAAAAGCUCGUAGUUGGAUUUCUGUUGGGAGCAGCCGGUCCGGCGUUUACUCGUUGUGCACUGGUGAAUCUCAGCAUUUUUUCGGUAGCGUUUCCCCACUUUAUUGUGUGGGUUUCGUAUUUCCGGAACUUUUACUUUGAGAAAAAUAGAGUGUUUCAAGCAGGCUUGUCGCCUUGAAUACUGCAGCAUGGAAUAAUAAGAUAGGACUUUGGUUCUAUUUUGUUGGUUUCUAGGACUAAAGUAAUGAUUAAUAGGGACAGUUGGGGGCAUUCGUAUUUAACUGUCAGAGGUGAAAUUCUUAGAUUUGUUAAAGACGAACUACUGCGAAAGCAUUUGCCAAGGAUGUUUUCAUUAAUCAAGAACGAAAGUAGGGGGUUUGAAGACGAUUAGAUACCGUCGUAAUCUCUACCAUAAACUAUGCCGACUAGAGAUAGGAAAACGUCUUAUUUGACUUCUCCUGCACCUCAUGAGAAAUCAAAGUCUCUGGGUUCUGGGGGGAGUAUGGUCGCAAGUCUGAAACUUAAAGGAAUUGACGGAAGGGCACCACCAGGCGUGGAGC